AAGACAUGUUAUGACAACAAUAAACAAUUUGCUAUAGAUACGGGUAUUGUUUUGGGUGUUAAUGUGUUGAAUACAUUAAUGCAAGACGAUAAUGUAAAUCAAAAUUUGCAAAACAUACAGACAAAAUGCAUUACUUUAAAGCAAUAAUUUGUUUUUGCUUUGUCUUCCUACUGAUUAAUUGUGUAACUGGAGAUGAAAAUGACACAACUGUUGAACCUACAGAUCCGGCUACAACUGAUUUGUCAGGUUCCGAUGACAGUGCAGGCGCAACAUUAUUUCCUAGUUUUCGUCAGAUGGUUUUAUGCGUUUUAACAAGCAUAAUGUCACCUGAAAGAACCUAUAGCAUACCAUCUGGAGUGUUUUCACAAAAAUGACGGGAAAUCGUAUGAUCAUCAUUAUUGGAUAGAUUUUUUCUUUGUCAAUAAUAAUUUUUUUUUUUUUACUUUACAUGUUUUUUUUUUGUUUUUUUUUUGCUUCAUAUGUUUUUAUUCCAUACAUUUCUGCAUUUGCUUUUAAUAUAAUUAAUUAUAAAAGUGAUUGAUACAUUUGAGUACCAAAGGAUUUUAAUAAAAGGCUACAAUUUAGAAAUGUUUAAUGCGUUUAUGAGAAGAAAUUCAAAUUAAUUUAUAUUCUGUAAUCGCAAUUUGAAGUUUCCUGUUGAAUUCGUUGUAAAUUAAAUGCCACAGCAGUAUACUCUUCAAACCCAGUUCAUUCCAAACACUUUUUUAAAUUUUUUCUUAGUAAAUAUUUGAAUUGCUACGUUCAUUUACGGAUGUUCAAAACCGUAAAUAUAUGUUUGAUAUACCAUGAAGAGAAACAUUUAGGGAAUGAGGGAAUUGCAUUCGAUUGUCUGUUUCCUUGCACGUUUAGAAAAGUACAAACACAACUACCGACCUCCAAAUGUAAAUUCAAAAAGACGGAAGUUCCUAAAACGUGACCAAACGUUAACCAAACGCUCUUAUAUAACAACCAACUAUUGGAAAACAACUAUCAUAUGUAUGACAUUGUACAGAGAUUAUUCCCGACGAAUAUGUUGAGUUCAAUUUGGUUAUACAACAAUCAAGUUUAACGUUACACAUGUGACAGUUAUUGAUAGUUCCGUUAUAUUGACAAAAUUGUUUAAGUGCAUGACUAUAGAAUUGUUUAAUAUAUCUAUGUAUACCAACGCCCAAGACUAAACAAAUGUUUAUAUAUAGGAAUACUGCAUAAAAUAUGCAUUCAUUCUUCAAAAGUGGAUAAUAUACAAACGUGUUCUUAAUGUAACCCUUGUUUAACUCAUUAUUGCUGCACAUCAAAGUUUCAAUCGACAAAUAUAUGUAAAUCAAUAAAAUGCGCCGAAAAGUUACGAUUCAUUUAUAUCGAUGUUUUCGAUGGUGCUGACGUGAAACAUAAUGUUCCUGUCAUUUUUAGAUACUUACUGUUUAUACCGUGUUAAAUUAUUCUAUAGAAACAUCAAGGUUUUUACUACCCUGGAAUUUGACUGCCGUAGUAAGUUAUUGCGAUUUGUUGGGGGGGGGGGAUUAUGGUAUAUUUUGUACUGUUAACGAAUGUAACACUUCUCAAUGAUUGUGGACUAAUUCGGGUGAGCAUGAAGGGUCAGUUGUUCUCGCUUUUCUAUUAUUAUUAUUUUAUUAACGUGUAAUUCUAAAGCGAAAUGAUGAAUGUUUCUUUUCGAAUCCUAAAUAAUAGUCAAACAGAUAUAUAAUCGGAACAUGUGACUUCUCUCAUUCUAUUUUUUGAACCGUUAACAUUCCCAGAACAGGGCCCACAUCCGCCAAAAAAUCACCAAAUAUACCAGGCUAAUAAUUUGGUUCACCAAAUGCUCGUGUCAUCCCAUUUGGUCUCAUCAGUGGCGCUCGAAUCAAAACAGUUGAAAAGACAAAUAAAAAACUAACUUGAAGAGCAUUCAAAACCACAAAUUCAAAACAUUUGUAUCAAGUAUCUCCGUGGCAAUAUAUACUUGUUAUAAAACUUUAGUGGUUCGAAUAAUUAAACAGUUGUACUCAUUAACGUCUUUCAAGAGUUUGUUUGUUCUGGAAAUAUUGCAAUGCAUUAUAUUGUAUGUGUUAACUUCACCCAUAAGAAAACAAUUGAAAAAAAUUGAUAAAUAAAUUAAACAAAUAAACCAAUGUACGAAUAUAUGAUAUAUAAAUAAAUGAAGAGUGCUCAAUACAAGAAAUACAUGAUCAAUGUGUGCCGAUCAUGUUUACAUUCACGUAAUUCAAUGAGCGCUUCGUUUUACAUGUUGGUGCAUAUUCCUUCUGUGUCCAUUCACUACCAUAUAUCAAUCCUCGCAAUGAAUUACUCGUUUAAUACAUUUGUAUGUGUCUGCAGCAAAUAUUUGUUUACCUCUUUAAUCGUAAUUGUCUUUAAUUUCUUAGUAUUUUGGGUUAUACAAACAUUUUAACAAUAUCAAUGUUUGAAUGAAUCUAUUUAUUAUGUAGUACACAUAUUCUCUAGGCUCUAGAGCAAUUGAAAACUUAACAUCAGGUAUCGAAGACCUUAAUAAUUGAUGUCUCUUUAUUAUUUGAAAAUCCAAAACCUUACACAAAACUUGCCGUGCAGAUAUACAUUUGGGAAAUGAAUAAACACCAAAGUUUAAUGAUGAAUCAAUUCUUAACUUCUGAUUAAUUGUGAAUGAGUUAUGAUUUAAUCAGCAUUUGGUCUAAAAAGGAGUCUGCAUUCCAAUCACGUACUAAUUGUGAACUACAUUAGUAGUUUAUCAAACCUCUGCAAACACCACCACUGGACCGAUAACUAAUUAUAAUUUGUAAAUUUGCAAUACGUGUGCGUAAAUGUUCAAAUAUAUUUUCAAUUUUUAAUUAGAAGAUUUUAUAAAGGAAAUGACUGUCAUUGAGAAAUAAAUGUAAUUACUUUAUUACUUAUCUGUGUUUAGAUUGACACACCAAAAAUGUGAUUCGGUAAAAUUUAAUAUACAAACAAGAUCUUGAAGUAUUGAUGGAAUAUAAAGAUCCCAAUAACAAAUAAUUGGUUAUUCAUCCGUUAUCUGGUCGUGUUUAUAGACGUUCAUUAUGAUUUGUCAUUCAGCCUUUGAAAGAAAUGCAAAUUAUAUCAUUUAGGCUUUUAACCUAUGACACAGCUGUCUAUUUAUAUGCAUGUGUAAUUGGUUUAUUCACAAUCAAUGCAUAGUCAGUUUAAAAGUUUUUGCAGUUGAUACAAUUCAGCCUUAUUGAGUUUUAAUUGAAAUAUACUAAUAGACUAUACAGAUGCAAGGUAAAGUUCGGUGAUUUGUUUUUCAAAUCAUGAUUAAUCUUCACAUAAAUGUUUUUCUUGUUUUCAUGUUCUAACUUCUUUCGUUUAGAACAGUGCAAAACUUGACUUACCUGAGGUAAUUGAACAUACCGGAUCAUUGAUGUUGCAUGAGUUUCUAAAAGUGAAAUUUAAAACCAUGUUUUUCUUAUUUCAUUUUUUUUCGUAAAACAUUUCUAUGAAUCAAUACCCUACUUAAAUCAGUAAAAAAAAUAUUGCAAAUCCAUAUUGUCGAGACUGAGCAAAGAAAAUCUGAAUCAGGCCAUAAGAAUAUUGCAAGAAGGAAGACGUCAACGUGGUGCGGCUAGAAAUUUCGAGUCGGAAUCUCUUCUUACAGUCCAUACAACAACGGUACAGACAGACGAGACUUGUUAAUGACCACAUAUGAUCAGAACAACGCCAUGUCAAUCAAAUGAAAUUACGAAGCGCUAUCAGCGAGAAGGGUUUACGACUACAAUGUUAACUGUUAACCACUUUUUUGGAUGUCAUGGCAGACAGAUGCACACAAUUUUUUUUCAAUAUACUUAAAUACUAAAGAAUCGACUGCAGAAAAACAUUUUAUGACCUACGUGUUUAUCCGUAUAAUUGUUGUAACGGGUAUGAUAGAGGCCAAAACCGAAAAGACAAAACAGAACUCAAAACAUGCAUAAAAGAACUGGUUGACUUGUCUGUCAAUCGUUUAGGCGUUGGUUAUAAGGUGAAAACCAGGGUUUCAGUGCAAACCACAUGGUUUAAACAUAAAAUGUGGCUGAUCAAUUCAACUUUCGAACUACAAACUGUAUUUAGACAAUAGACAAUGAGGUACUGGAUGAAUUUUAUGUUGAUAUAUUUAUUGCUCAAGAAUUUCAUAUUUGAAAAUAUAAAAUAAAAAAGAAUAAUCUAUUGUUGCGUUUUGUAAGUCCGUAAGUCUAUAAUGACACUUGGAAAUCUGUUUACCAUUAUAAUAUUAACGUAUACCAAUGAUAUUGUAAAUUGUUUUAGAAUUUGAAAAUCAAUAAAACUUUAUUCUCACUAUUAAAUGUAUUAUCUGUUUUAAUAUACAUAUUGCCUAGUUUGCACACAUUUACUCAAAUAAUAAGACAAAAAACAAGACGUAGAGGAAAAUAUAGACUUGGUUUAAUUUGUUUUUUACAAUAUAAUUUCAAGUUUUAUAUACUUUAUGAGAUGUCAAUUAUCACAAUAGGAAUUGAAAUGGAUGUAUUUGCACAAUAUACAUGUAUAAAUACUUUGAUAUUCCGUGACCAUGGUGAUAGUGACCUUAUACAGAGAUACUGUACAUGGUAUAAAAUGGCGUCCUUUUCUCAAAAGAAAGACAGCAUGGCCUUGUGUAAGUAUCUUGUUUUUAAGCCGCAAAAGUCUUAUAAUUUCUUUUAUCUGUGAAUAAUCUGCUUAUCAUUAUUCGAUUAAUUUUAAAGACGCCGUUCUCAAAUAUUUCUGAGACGUCGCGUGUCCAGGACAUGCAAACUUUCUGUCACAAUCAUUGAAUUGAGACCUUUACAAUCAAUUUGCAAUAUGUUUGAGUAAAUGUUCAAAUGAUUUAAGGCCGAAAAGAUUUUGUAAGAAAUAAUUGUCAUAUGGAAAAUAUUUAAUCCCUACAUAUGGUGAUAACAAUGAAUAAAAUAUAUCGAAUGAAUUAAUUAUCAACAGUUAAUCACCUGUCAUAUGGUCUUUUUUGAGAUUUUAUAAAAACUCUAUUACGACUUGUCACGCUAGCAUUAAAACAAAUGUAAAUUAAAUUGAUUACCUCUUUGACCUGUGACUUUGCUAUCUGUAUGUAUGCACCUUUUAAUAGCUUAUUUACAUUCCAUGUGCAACCUGUCAGUAAAGAACUUUAAAAUUGAGAUAAAUCAACACUGUUAAGUUUGAAUUAAAAAUACAAUCGAAUGACAAUCUUUUUUAUAAUUACAAAGUUAACUUAACUGACAUCAAUUAUAUUGAAACUAAACUAGUUAUCAAAGAGGGACGAAAGAUACCAGAGGGACAGUCAAACUCAUAGAUCGAAAACAAACUGACAACGCCAUGGCCAAAAAUAAAAAGACAAACAGACAAAUAAUAGGACAGAUGACACAACAUAGAAAAUCAAAGACUAAGCUGCACGAACCCCACCAAAAACUGGGGGUGAUCUCAGGUGCUCCGGAAGGGUAAGCAGAUCCUGCUCCACAUGUGGCACCCGUCACUGUAUCAUAAUGCUCUGUUCUGAAAAAGUAAAUGAAAAUAACACGUUAUAAAUUUGAUGCAUCCUUAGCGCUUUUAUGGAUUGACCAUCAUCAGAAACAAUCAGAACCUACAACUCUGAAAGUCUGGAAUGUAUUCACAAUGGAGAAGCUAUACGACAAAAUGUGAUAAAAACAGAUUGGCAGAAAACAUUUAUUCAUGUAAUUGGUUCAAACAAAUCAUCAAAACUGCAAUAUAAAGAGACUGUUACUAGCACAAGUCAAUUAAUUAAAUUGAAAUUGUUAAAAAGAACAAAACACACAUUCUGAUUAGAAUACAUAUCUUGUGUCCAAGCUUUGCUUACAAGGAUCUAAACACGCUCCGUUCUACUUUCUGUUCUGAAAUUUGUAACAUCAGCCAAUGAAAUUUUAGCCUUCAAAUUUUUGAAGGUGUGUACAUUUAUUUAUUCGACAAAAGCAUAGAAUCCCGAAAAUUUUAAAACAAAAAGAAGAACGGAGCGUUUUCAGAUCAUUGUAAGCAACGCAUGCACAUAGGAUCUGUGUUUUAGUCAGAUUGCAAAACACAUUGAAAAUACUGCAAUUUAAGCGAUAAGUUCCAAUACCAUGUAAAUAAGUACUAACGGAAAAAUGAAUUUCCUCCAUCAUAACAAAAAGCAUGCCGGUUUCAGUGAGGAAAAGAGUAACUAUAAAGCUGACGAAAUUUUUUUUUCUGUAUAUGUUUUUUUUUCGAACGUGGACUGGCUUUAUAUUUAGAGUUCAGUAUCAACUAGCUGUAUAUUUGAUUCGUGCUGGGUCUUGUAUUGUACUUGUAUUAGUUUUCAAUAGAGGAUUUGCAAUUAGAUAAUAGUUUUGACACCAAUUAACAAUUUGUUGAUAUAUAUAAAUUUUUACCUGUUUAUAAAUUUAUAAUAGGACAGUACGCAUGGUGUGUAAAUACAAUUUUCCAAACAUUACAAGAAAAUGAUUUAUUCAAAGACAGCCGUGUGCAUCUUCUUUUACCUUGUACUUGUUCUAUAUGUUGAUUGUACCACAACACCAACAGCAGCGCAAGCUGUUGCAACAACGGCGUCAGGUUCUGGUGGCAAUGCAGGGGCAAUAUUAAUCCCUAGUCUACAACAGAUUGUUGUUUGCGUUUGUGCAAGUAUCAUUUUCACUCAAAUGACAUUGAUGAUACCUUCCAUAGAAAUGACAAAAACGGUUUGGAAGUAGAUAGACGGUAUUAGACCAACGAUCCCAAGUUUUUUUUGAUGGAUUCAUAGUGUUUAUAUAUUCCACAACUAGUUAGAAAAAAAUAUUAUGUUUUUAUUUCAGUAUAUACUUUAUCUCAAAAAAUUUCUGUAUAUUACCAAUCGUUUCUUUAUCAUUGUUAUGUUACUAUUUUAAAAGAAAAAAAAAGAAAAAGCACCUUGCGAAAUUCUUUCAUUUUACUUUCAGAUAUAUUGAUGAUGUCCUAUCACUGAAUAACCCAUAUUUCAGCUAGUACUGACAUCUCAUAUAUCCCAGUGAAAUUGAAAUUAAGGAUAAUACUGAAUCUAGAAGACUUGCUUUAUACCUUGAUCUUUUCCUCAAUAUUGACACAGAUAGACGACUUUACACUGAAAUCUAUGACAAACGGGACGAUUUCAACUUCCCAAUUAUCAAUUUCCCAUUUCUCAGCAGUAACAUACCCUCUACCCUAUCAUAUGGUGUUUACAUAUUUAAGUUGAUACGUUAUGCUCUUGUAUGUUCACACUAUACGGACUUCGUAUACAGGAGUGUGUUCCUUACGCAGAAACUUCUACAACAGAAUUAUGAGGAGGAAAGAUUAAAAUUUUAUGGACACCAUCACGAAUUGGUUGAUCUUUAAGAUGUGUCUAUGUGUAAACUAACUAACAACAUUUUACCACGACUUAGAUUGUGGUUUACCAUCUACGUCAUCUGGUCUUCUAAGUACCGAUUGUGACCUAUUCCCGAAUAUGACUGUUUUAUUUGCUGAGUGUAAAUUCGCAUUGCUAUUAGACGUGUCUCCGUAUAUGUACAUCCAACAUUCAUGUAUUUAGUACCGAUUUUCACUUGUAAUUCUGGUUGGAUGUUGUUUUGUGUCUUAUCGUUUGUGGUUUUAAUUUUUUUUUAAUUUUCUGUAUGUAUGUACAAGUAAAGAUAUUAAUCACCUA